CUCAAACAAAUCAACUAUCAAUAACCAACGUCAAUUUGCUAAUGAUUAUAGAGUCUAACUUAUGAUUUUAAGGCUUAACCAACCGACCCUUAAAUUGAAUAACAGAAAUGUAAAGUACAACCUUUACGGACAGUUCUUCCGAUCAACGAUUACAAAUCGGAGAGAGUGAUGUCAGUAGAGAUCAAACUAUCCAGAUCAAACAGAAUCUAUCAUCCAGAAGAAUCAAUUGAAGGUAAAAUCAUCACAAAGCUUUCAUCUUCUAUAUCCCAUUAUGGAAUUCGUCUUACUAUCAAUGGAUCAGUCAAUUUACAGGUUCGUGGAGGGUCUGCUGGGGUUAUUGAAUCUGUUGUUGGUGUCCUUAAGCCCAUUAUUAUUGUGAAGAAGAGUGUUGAAGUUAGAUCUUCUGGGAAGAUUAGCUCAGGCACUACUGAGAUACCUUUUUCAUUGACUUUAAGACAACCUGAAGAGAACAAAUCUGGAAAAUUUUAUGAAACCUUCCAUGGAACAGACAUAGGCAUACAGUAUCUGCUUACCGCUGAGAUAGCACGAGGUUAUCUACACAAGUCAUUAUCAGCAACACUUGAGUUUAUCAUCGAGAGUGAAAAAGCUGACCUUCUUGAGCUGCCAAUUUCGCCUGAACUCGUCAUUUUCUAUAUCACGCAGGAUACACAGAGGCAUCCAUUGCUUCCUGAAUUAAAAUCAGGUGGUUUCCGUGUAAGUGGAAGAAUCCCGACUCAAUGUUCAUUAUCAUGCGCCCUUCAAGGGGAGCUGACUGUAGAAGCAUCCGCAUCGCCAAUUCAGUCGAUUGAUAUCCACUUACUACGUGUCGAAUCCAUUCUUGUCGGAGAUAAGAUUGUGUUGGAAACAUCUUUGAUUCAAACUACUCAGAUAGCAGAUGGAGAUGUUUGUCGAGGCCUGACUUUACCUAUUUAUGUUCUGCUUCCACGACUCUUAACUUGUCCGACUGUCUUUGCUGGGCCAUUCUCAAUCGAGUUCAAAGUCUCUAUCGUGGUGACAUUUCAGUCGGAGCUUAGCAAACUGCACCCGAAUCCUGAUCCUAGAACACCAAGACUAUGGCUUGCGAUGGAGACAUUGCCACUUGAACUCAUUCGAACCAGAUAAAAUCACCAUGGUCAUGAAUUGAUAGACUUGGAUCGGGGAUUUCUUUUCUAUCCUUCACUGGAUUCGCAUGGAGGAUGAUUGUUAGGGCAAAAAGUAUUCCAAAUUUCUUCUCUCGGGUGCACUGCUCGUGUCCCCAGAACUUGUCCUCCCAACCGGCCUGCAAUCAUCACCGCCACAAAUAAACUCCGGUCCACUUCCGGAGAUCUAGGACUAGCAGAUUUAGGAAUGCUACUGGAGCUACUGUUGCCGCUAGUGCUGAUUUCUGGUUUGGGUGUAAGCCCAAAGAUAUUCAGGAAUGUAUAUAUUUUUACACUUUCUGAGGAUUUCAAGAUUAAGGUAAAUUUAGGGGAUUAAUUACCCUCAUAGAAUACUUAACUCUAACUUAACCCAGAAAGAGGAUUAGGAACCGUUCUGCGUCUGUAUUUUUCACCUUUUUGUUACUGUUAGAAAAUAUGGUUGAAACUCUCCACAAUACUAAGAAAAUAGAAAAA